UGAAAUUAAAGAUUAUUUUAAUACAAAUUCAAUUGUAUAUCAUAAAGUUAUUUUGCCACAUACCAUUUUCGAAAAAUAAUUACAAACACUUGUAAAGUGUAUACGCAUGUUAUUUGUGCGCUCAAUUCUUCAUAUGUCUGCUCGCAUUUUUUUCAUAAUAGAAAAUGACGAUGGAGGUAAACAUAUUUUGCAUUCUGCGUAUAAUCGGAAAUGACUUUUAUUAUGUACAGAUAGAAAAACAUUUAUGUAAUACUUGAACGUAAGGUAAGUAAGAUCAUAAUAUCAUGUCACAGUGUUAUCAUAUGAAUAAUAAAAUAUGAACGAUCCAAAGUGCGCGAAGCGACGCAUUUUUGAUGCAAAAUUAGCAAUAAUGUAUUUGCAAUCUUAUUUUGCAAUCUUAUUAAGGGAGGAAUCUCAAUUUCGUCAAAAAAUCGAUUUUUUUAAUGAAAUCUUUUAGUUUAAUAAUAUCUUAAGAAUAUCUCCAUAAAAUUUUGUAUCAAAAUUUGUUUCGUAACUUCAGGAGUUAUAAGCUCUUAAUCGACCGAAUACCUGACCAAGUAUAAGAUUUUUAACAAUCGACAGCUGUUUCGGUUUUGUUCUCAGCACAAGUUAGUCUAGGGACACUUGUAUUAUUUAACAGUGAAAUUUUCAGUAGUCGUUUAACCUCCGAGUGAAACUGAUGCACGCACGAAAAUAAAGAACAAUGAAUUGUAAACAUUCACGAAAUACGUGCUAGCAGACCAAAGAAAAGAAAAUUCACGGGUAAUAUUCACAUUCAAGAAACGGAUACUUCAUUUGCAAGUACAUCAGCAGAAAAAUUAUUCAGUAUUCAAAACGAAAUGCCAAAAUAUUUUGCAACGCGCGAGAUCAUCGCCUUGAAAAAUCAACGCGAUGGAGCCUUCAGGCUAUGAAAGAGGCUCGAAUAAAACGAAGAAACGAAUAGAUGGCUCAAAAUCAAUUUUAUGAAAAUGAGGAAAGAUUGUUAUAUAUCCUUGGAAUAGCAGAGUAACAGAUAUAAGAUAUUAUCUGGAAGAUUAAUAUCGUGCACACCAGUGGACGACGAACUUUGCGUGGCGUGAUAUUCGAUUAUUAAUAAACAUUUAUUAUUAAAAUAAUUAAUAUAAAAAAAACUGUAGUUGUUCAAACGUGAAUAAAAACGUGAUAUAAAUUUUACAUAAAUCAAAUUGCUAGUUUAAAA